rnacentral:rRNA from 1 species
AUAUCAAUAAGCGGAGGAAAAGAAACCAACAGGGAUUGCCUCAGUAGCGGCGAGUGAAGCGGCAAGAGCUCAGAUUUGAAAUCUCACCUAGUGUGCGAGUUGUAAAUUGCAGGUUGGAGUCUCGGGUUAGACGUGUGUGCAAGUCCCUUGGAACAGGGUGCCACUGAGGGUGAGAGCCCCGUAUCGUGCAUGUCGACACCUGUGAGGCCCUUCUGACGAGUCGAGUUGUUUGGGAAUGCAGCUCUAAGUGGGUGGUAAAUUCCAUCUAAGGCUAAAUAUUGGCGAGAGACCGAUAGCGAACAAGUACUGUGAAGGAAAGAUGAAAAGCACUUUGAAAAGAGAGUGAAACAGCACGUGAAAUUGUUGAAAGGGAAGGGUAUUGGGCUCGACAUGGGAUUUACGCAUCGUUGCCUCUCGUGGGCGGCGCUCUGGGUUUUUCCUGGGCCAGCAUCGGUUUUCGUUGCAGGAUAAGGACAAUUGGAAUGUGGCUCCUCGGAGUGUUAUAGCCUUUUGUAGAUGCUGCGUAUGGGGACCGAGGGCUGCGGCGGACUCGUUUCGUCUCGGAUGCUGGCACAACGGCGCAAUACCGCCCGUCUUGAAACAACGG